AGGGGUAUAGCUCAUUGGUAGAGCACAUGCUUAGCGUGCAUGAGGUCCUGGGUUCAAUCCCCAGUACUUCCA
rnacentral:tRNA from 1 species